UAGCAUAUGGGAGACGUGGAAGUGCGUUUAAUAUCUGGGCACCUUAAACGCAUGGAGUCAGUGGUGCAACCGUCCCGUAAUGAA
rnacentral:ncRNA from 2 species